GCCUACGGGAGGCAGCAGUGGGGGAUAUUGCACAAUGGGGGGAACCCUGAUGCAGCGACGCCGCGUGAGCGAAGAAGUACCUCGGUAUGUAAAGCUCUAUCAGCAGGGAGGAAAAUGACGGUACCUGACUAAGAAGCCCCGGCUAAAUACGUGCCAGCAGCCGCGGUAAUACGUAUGGUGCAAGCGUUAUCCGGAUUUACUGGGUGUAAAGGGAGCGCAGGCGGUGCGGCAAGUCUGAUGUGAAAGCCCGGGGCUCAACCCCGGGACUGCAUUGGAAACUACCGAACUAGAGUGUCGGAGAGGGA
rnacentral:rRNA from 1 species